rnacentral:rRNA from 1 species
AUUGAACGCUGGCGGCAGGCUUAACACAUGCAAGUCGAGCGAGCGGCGGACGGGUGAGUAAUGUCUGGGAAACUGCCUGAUGGAGGGGGAUAACUACUGGAAACGGUAGCUAAUACCGCAUACCAUCAGUUCUUCCCAGAUGGGAUUAGCUUGUGGGUGGGGUAAUGGCUCACCUAGGCGACGAUCCCUAGCUGGGCUGAGAUGAUGACCAGCCACACUGGAACUGGGAAACGGUGCCGCAUCCUACGUGAGGCAGCAGUGGGGAAUAUUGCACAAUGGGCGCAAGCCUGAUACAGCCAGGCCGCGUGUGUGAAGAAGGCCUUCGGGUUGUAAAGCACUUGCAGCGAGGAGGCGGGAGUCGAAGAAGAAGCACCGGCUAACUCCGUGCCAGCAGCCGCGGUAAUAG